CCCUUAGAUGUCCUGGGCCGCACGCGCGCUACACUGACAUGUUCAACAAGCCUCCUAGUUCGACAGGAUUUGGGAAAUCUUUGAACGCAUGUCGUGAUAGGGAUAGAUCAUUGAAAUUAUUGAUCUUGAACGAGGAAUUCCUAGUAAACGCGAGUCAUCAGCUCGCAUUGAUUACGUCCCUGCCCUUUGUACACACCGCCCGUCGCACCUACCGAUUGAAUGUUUCGGUGAAGAUUCCGGAUAGGACUUUUUUGAUUUAUUUCAAUUUUGUCUUAAAAGCUAUCUAAACCUCAACAUUUAGAGGAAGGUGAAGUCGUAACA
rnacentral:rRNA from 1 species